GGCACAGCUGAGGCUCAUUCACUGAUUACACACUUGCAGUAUUUAAACCCGGGCUGUUCACCUCUUCAGCGCCAGAUCGUUACAUACAUCGACGUGAUCCUGUUGUACCUGCUCCCCUCCUGCCGUGCUCCGCCGUGCUGCCUGCCUAUCUGCCUCACGCCAUCUCCGUCAUAAUCACCUGCUUUGCCUGUUUACAACUGUGGACCUGCCUCAAAUCCGCCACUGCCUGGUUCCAGUUUUGCUCUUAGACAACUACUAACUCAGCCUCGGCUGUUCCUCUCCACUGCCUAUCGUCAUCCAAUAAACACUUGAACUCUUA